rnacentral:rRNA from 1 species
AACGUAGGACGCAAGCGUUAUCCGGAGUUACUGGGCGUAAAGCGCGGGCAGGCGGUCUUGCCAGUCUGAUGUGAAAUCUCUCAGCUCAACUGGGAGCAGCCAUCGGAAACUACAAGACUGGAGUCUGACAGAGGUAGGCGGAAUUCCGGGUGGAGUGGUGAAAUGCGUAGAGAUCCGGAGGAACACCAGAGGCGAAGGCGGCCUACUGGGUCAGUACUGACGCUGAGCCGCGAAAGCCAGGGGAGCGAACGGG